rnacentral:rRNA from 1 species
AUGGUGGCCAAGGCGAAGAUGAGCGCCAUGGAGUUGGAGAUGGCGAAGGUGAUGAGCGACGGGGAGGUGGUGCUCGGCGGCGCCGGGGACGAGGAGGAGGACGACGUGGUGCUGCCGGGGUACCGGUUCCACCCCACCGACGAGGAGCUGGUCACCUUCUACCUCCGCCGCAAGGUGGCCAGGAAGUCGCUCCGCAUCGAGGUCAUCCGGGAGAUGGACAUCUACAAGCACGACCCAUGGGAUCUCCCCAAGGCGAGCACGGUUGGUGGGGAGAAAGAGUGGUACUUCUUCUGCCUCAGGGGGAGGAAGUACCGGAACAGCAUCCGGCCCAACAGGGUGACCGGCUCUGGCUUCUGGAAGGCCACCGGCAUCGACCGGCCAAUCUACUCCGCUGCCUCCGGCGGUGCCUCGGGUUCCAGCGUGUCCAUCGGGCUGAAGAAGUCGCUCGUCUACUACCGUGGCAGUGCCGGCAAGGGCACCAAGACCGACUGGAUGAUGCAUGAGUUCCGCCUCCCGCCGGUCGCCGCCGCCGCGGCCACCAACUCCUCCCCGAGCAUGCAGGAAGCCGAGGUGUGGACCAUCUGCAGGAUCUUCAGGAGGACCAUCACCUACCGGAAGCAGCAGCAGCCGUGGAGGCCGGCGCCCGCGCCGUCCGCCGCCGACUCGAGCUCCAACACGGGGAGCUUUCAGUCGUCCGAGGCCAGCGACGAAUACAUGAACUGCCUGCAGGCUCCGGCACCCGCCGCUCCGUACAUCCCCCAGCAGCAGCAGCAGCACCAGUACGUCAGUCAGACGAGCACGGUGGACAGCGGCAAUUUCCUCUACGAGGAAAACAUGCACAACCAGCAGUUCCAGGGGGAAUGGAACGCCGCACCCGCCGCGCCGGUGCCGGAGCAGAAACAGCAGAAUCCAUUGUCGACGGCCGUCGCCCUCCACCAGAAUGACCAUAGCCACGCCGUCGCCGCGAACGAUUUCUACAAGGUCGAGGGGUACUUGGAGGAGAUCGCUAGGAUGUUGGAGGUCACCGAUUCGGCAGGGCUUUACGACUACAGAUCAUAA